GGAGCGAGGGUUGAAGGAAGCAGGGCCGAGCGUUUCUGUAAUAUGUUAGCUACAUUUUGUAGUUUGACCUUUCACGUUUACACGGUCUUCCAAGAASAGCCURGAGAACCASGACGGGUAGCUACUUGGAAUAUCUAAAAGAUGAUUGUUGGGCCAUUUUUUGUUGGGUUAGUAGUUACUUGGUAUAGUUUGUUUAUGUACGGGAUUGAUGGACAUGAAAACCUUCGUUCAUGUAUAUAUAAUUUACUAUAUGUAUAUACUUUAUAUUUGUAGGUGGGUUGGUGUAUUAAUGGAUAUAUAUGUUCUUGUAUGUAAAA